AAGCGCUUGUGACCAGACUUGGGCUUGGUUGAUCAUCCUGGGUUCUCCCUGGUGCACUCUUCCAGUCCAGGCCAGCAUCAGUUUGCUUCGGGGGAUAAAAACUUUAGGAAUGUGGCUCUUCGGAGUGUUAUAGCCUAUUGUAUAAUACCCUUAUGGGGACCGAGGUACGCGCUCUGCAAGGAUGCUGGCGUAAUGGUCAUCAACGA
rnacentral:rRNA from 1 species